rnacentral:rRNA from 1 species
AGUGGGUGCGAGCAUCUUUGUGGUCAAGUUGUGUAGGGCACAUGGUGGAUGUCUUGGCACUAGGAGCCGAUGAAGGACGUGGGAGGCUGCGUUAAGCCUCGGGGAGCUGUCAACCGAGCUGUGAUCCGAGGAUGUCCGAAUGGGGAAACCCGGCACCCGUGAUGGGGUGUCACCCGCUGGUGAAUGUAUAGCCGGUGUGGAGGGAACGCGGGGAAGUGAAACAUCUCAGUACCCGCAGGAAGAGAAAACAACCGUGAUUCCGUGAGUAGUGGCGAGCGAAAGCGGAUGAGGCUAAACCGUGCACAUGUCAAGCUGUCAGGUGUUGUGUGUGCGGGGUUGUGGGAGCCACUGUCCGGGGGCUGACACCCUCGGUGAUGCUGUGUGUGGUUAGCGGAACACGUUGGGAUGCGUGGCCGGAGUGGGUGAGAGUCCCGUACGCGAAAACUGCAUGUCAGUGUUGGUGUGGUGUUCCCGAGUAGCAGCGAGCUCGUGGAAUUCGCUGUGAAUCCGCCGGGACCACCCGGUAAGCCUAAAUACUUCCUAGUGACCGAUAGCGGACGAGUACCGUGAGGGAAAGAUGAAAAGUACCCCGGGAGGGGAGUGAAAGAGUACCUGAAACCGUGUGCCUGCAAGCCANNNNNNNNNNNNNNNNNNNNNNNNNNNNNNNNNNNNNNNNNNNNNNNNNNNNNNNNNNNNNNNNNNNNNNNNNNNNNNNNNNNNNNNNNNNNNNNNNCGUCAGAGCCCUGUAUGGGGUGAUGGCGUGCCUUUUGAAGAAUGAGCCUGCGAGUUAGUGCUACGUGGCGAGGUUAACCCGUGUGGGGUAGCCGGAGCGAAAGCGAGUCUGAACAGGGCGAGUGAGUCGCGUGGUCUAGACCCGAAGCGGAGUGAUCUACCCAUGGCCAGGGUGAAGCGCCGGUAAGACGGCGUGGAGGCCCGAACCCACCAGGGUUGAAAACCUGGGGGAUGAGCUGUGGGUAGGGGUGAAAGGCCAAUCAAACUCCGUGAUAGCUGGUUCUCCCCGAAAUGCAUUUAGGUGCAGCGUCGCGUGUUUCUCAUCUGGGGUAGAGCUACUGGAUGGCCUAGGGGGCUUACCGGCUUACCGAAGUCAACCAAACUCCGAAUACAGGUGUGUGAGAGCGCGGCAGUGAGACGGCGGGGGAUAAGCUUCGUCGUCGAGAGGGAAACAGCCCAGAACACCAGCUAAGGCCCCUAAGUGUGUGCUCAGUGGGAAAGGAUGUGGAGUCGCAGAGACAACCAGGAGGUUGGCUUAGAAGCAGCCAUCCUUGAAAGAGUGCGUAAUAGCUCACUGGUCAAGUGGUUCUGCGCCGACAAUGUAGCGGGGCUUAAGCACACCGCCGAAGCUGUGUCACUCACACAAGUGAUCGGCACCGGCCCUUCGGGGUGGGUGUCCAGUCGUGUGGGUGGGUAGGGGAGCGUCCCGCAUCCAGCGAAGCCGCCGGGGAACCGAGUGGUGGAGGGUGUGGGAGUGAGAAUGCAGGCAUGAGUAGCGAAUGCAGAGUGAGAAUCUCUGCCGCCGGAUGACCAAGGGUUCCUGGGCCAGGUUGUUCCGCCCAGGGUAAGUCGGGACCUAAGGCGAGGCCGACAGGCGUAGUCGAUGGACAACGGGUUGAUAUUCCCGUACCCGCGUGUGUGCGUCCCUGGUGAGGCAGGUGAGACUAACCACCCGCCCGGUAUCGUGGUCUCUUCGGAGGCCUGGUGCUUGGGUGCGUGGGACCUGAGCUUGUAGUAGCCAAGCGAUGGGGUGACGCAGGAAGGUAGCCCCGCCAGUCAGUGGUAAUACUGGUGUAAGCGUGUGGCCCGCAGAGCAGGGAAAUCCGUUCUGCUGUCUUCGAUGACGAGGGUGAGGCGUGAUGCAUAGCCGUUGUGGCGAAGUAGGGUGAUCCUCAGCUGCCGAGAAAAGCCUCUAGCGAGUGUACGCGUGGCCCGUACCCCAAACCGACACAGGUGGUCAGGUAGAGAAUACCAAGGCGAUCGGGUGAACUGUGGUUAAGGAACUCGGCAAAUUGCCCCCGUAACUUCGGGAGAAGGGGGGCCAAAACACCUGAAGCCCUGCGCGGGCUAGGGUGGGUUGGCCGCAGAGACCAGCGGAAAGCGACUGUUUACUAAAAACACAGGUCCAUGCGAAGACGUAAGUCGAUGUAUAUGGACUGACGCCUGCCCGGUGCUGGAACGUUAAGAGGACCGGUUAACCCUCCUUGUGGGGGUGAAGCUGAGAAUUUAAGCGCCAGUAAACGGCGGUGGUAACUAUAACCAUCCUAAGGUAGCGAAAUUCCUUGUCGGGUAAGUUCCGACCUGCACGAAUGGCGUAACGACUUUCCGGCUGUCUCAACCACAGGCCCGGCGAAAUUGCACUACGAGUAAAGAUGCUCGUUUCGCGCGGCAGGACGGAAAGACCCCGGGACCUUUACUAUAGCUUGGUAUUGGUUUUCGGUUCGGCUUGUGUAGGAUAGGUGGGAGACUGGGAAGCGGUCACGCUAGUGAUCGUGGAGUCAUCGUUGAAAUACCACUCUGGCCGGAUUGGGAAUCUAACCUCGGACCGUGAUCCGGUUCAGGGACAGUGCCUGGUGGGUAGUUUAACUGGGGCGGUUGCCUCCCAAAGAGUAACGGAGGCGCCCAAAGGUUCCCUCAGCCUGGUUGGCAAUCAGGUGUCGAGUGUAAGUGCACAAGGGAGCUUGACUGUGAGACUGGCAGGUCGAGCAGGUGCGAAAGCAGGGACUAGUGAUCCGGCACCUCCUGGUGGAAGGGGUGUCGCUCAACGGAUAAAAGGUACCCCGGGGAUAACAGGCUGAUCUUGCCCAAGAGUCCAUAUCGACGGCAUGGUUUGGCACCUCGAUGUCGGCUCGUCGCAUCCUGGGGCCGGAGUAGGUCCCAAGGGUUGGGCUGUUCGCCCAUUAAAGCGGCACGCGAGCUGGGUUUAGAACGUCGUGAGACAGUUCGGUCCCUAUCCGCCGCGCGCGUUGGAGACUUGAGGAAGGCUGUCCCUAGUACGAGAGGACCGGGACGGACGAACCUCUGGUAUGCCAGUUGUCCCACCAGGGGCACGGCUGGUUAGCUACGUUCGGAAGGGAUAACCGCUGAAGGCAUCUAAGCGGGAAGCCUGUUCCAAGAUGAGGUCUCCCACCACCAUCGAGUGGGUAAGGCCCCCCAAAGACGAUGGGGUUGAUAGGCCAGACAUGGAAGCACAGCAAUGUGUUCUCGAGUGGACUGGUACUAAUCGGCCGAGGGCUUGACCACAA